GCGGGAGCGCGCGGAGCGGGCGCUGGAGCUGCUGCGGGCGGCGGAGCAGCACAAGCGGGAUCUGGAGCUCCGCAACCGGCAGCUGCAGGAGCAGUGGGAGGAGCUGUCAAGUCAGGUAUGCGCGGGAGUGGCCCCGCCUCUGGCUUCCGCUCCGAAGUCCGGCCCUGGGUCCCCUCCCCUCCCGGCCCCGCGUCCCAGGAGCUUCGAGCCCCGCAAAGCCCGCCCUCACCCCCCAGCUCUUCUACUACGGAGGGGAACAGCUGACGCGGCGGCGCACGGAGCAGCAGCUCGGGGCCCCAACUGGCAGCCCUGCAG
rnacentral:lncRNA from 1 species